rnacentral:tRNA from 1 species
UGGACGGAAGCUAAAGUGGAUAGGCAUCGGGCUUUUAACCCGACUAUAGUGAGUUCGAGUCUCACCCGUUCAACCA